UACAGAGGUCCCGAGCGUUGUUCGGAUUUAUUGGGCGUAAAGGGUGCGUAGGCGGCGGAGUAAGUUGGGUGUGAAAUCCCGAGGCUCAACCUCGGAAUUGCAUUCAAUACUGCUUCGCUCGAGUACUGGAGAGGAGGCUGGAAUUUACGGUGUAGCAGUGAAAUGCGUAGAUAUCGUAAGGAAGGCCGGUGGCGAAAGCGAGCCUCUGGACAGUUACUGACGCUGAUGCACGAAGGCCAGGGGAGCAAACAGG
rnacentral:rRNA from 1 species